rnacentral:rRNA from 1 species
AUGGGAGAGAUUAAUGCCAAUGGCGGAUGCCUUGGCAGUUUGAGCCGAAGAAGGACGCGUGUUUAAGCGCGAAAACAACGAUGAGUCCUUAAAUAGACAUUAUUAAUCGUUGGUUUCCGAAUGGGGCAACCCCUUUUUGUGAAAACAGAAAGAAUCCCGCCUAUGGCGGGAUGGGGCACUCGGGGAACUGAAACAUCUCAGUACCCGAAGGAAAAGAAAACAAUAGUGAUGGCGUUAGUAGCGGCGAGCGAACGCGCCACAGCCUAAACCCCGAUUUAAUCGGGGUGUUGCGGGGCAGAAGAUAUGGGAUUUAUUAAGGAUAAAAAAACGCUUUGGAAAGAGCGGCCAUAGAAAGUGAUAGCCUUGUAUUUUAAAUCCAAGAUAACCCUAUUCUGUUCCCAAGUACUACGAGGCACGGCAAACCUUGUAGGAAUCCGGGUCGGUCACGACCCAAGGCUAAAUACUCAAACUGACCGAUAGUGAACUAGUACCGUGAGGGAAAGGUGAAAAGAACCCAGAAAUGGGAGUGAAAUAGAAACUGAAACCAUUGGCUAACAAGCAGAUAGAGCUUGUGCAUGGCACAAGGAAUUCAAAAGGAAAAAGUCAAAACUCAAAAGUUCAAUUCAAAAGUAAAAAGUAUUAAAACUUUUUAAUUUUAACUUUCAAUUUUGACUUCUAAAUUUUAACUUUUGACUUUCAUGUGCUGUGCAUGAGUAAUAUCGUGCCUAUUGAAGAAUGAGUCAGCGAGUUUACGUUUGCGGUUUGUUUAACCCCGAAAUAUUUGGGGGAAGACAUAGGGAAACCGAGUCCUAAUAGGGCGUUUUAUCGCAAACGUAAGACCCGAAACUGUGUGAGCUAACCAUGGGCAGGAUGAGUCCCUCCGAAAGGAGGGAGGAGGUCCGAACCCGUUGUCGGUGAAAUGACAUGGGAGGACUUGUGGUUAGGGGUAAUAUGCCAAUCGAACACAGAGAUAGCUGGUUCUCCUCGAGAUAUAUUUAGGUAUAGCCUCUAGUUAACAUUUUACGGGGUAGAGCUACUGGAUGGUCCCGAAAGCUUAAUUGCGAUCGGGAUCAACCAAACUCCUAAUACGUAAAAUUUAUUGCUAGGGAGUCAGUCGAGUCCGGAUAAGCGGAUUUCGGCGAAAGGGAAACAACCCAGA